GGCGAUGUGGCGUACAGUAACGCGUCCCGGUCAUAUGCACGUAGCAUACUAUAUUUCCGGGGAGUCGGGGGUUCAACUCCUCCCGUCGCCU